UACGUAGGGGGCAAGCGUUGUCCGGAUUUAUUGGGCGUAAAGAGCGUGUAGGCGGUUUGGUAGGUCCGUUGUGAAAACUCGAGGCUCAACCUCGAGACGCCGAUGGAAACCAUCAGACUAGAGUCCGGAAGAGGAGAGUGGAAUUCCUGGUGGUAGCGGUGAAAUGCGCAGAUAUCAGGAAGAACACCCGUGGCUAAGGCGGCGUCUCUAGUACGGUACUGACGCUGAGACGCGAAAGCGUGGGGAGCGAACAGG
rnacentral:rRNA from 1 species